rnacentral:lncRNA from 1 species
CGUUCCCACUGCUGCCUUUAUUCAAUAAGUUAACAUACAUCUCCAGCCGAGGCCACGCUGCUGUUCCCAGAAUGAGAGAGCACAGAGCCAGUGCAGCUUCACAGCCCAUGCUCAGUUGGUGAGGGUGAUCAGUGCUUCCACCACGUUGCCCAUGUGCUCCCGUAGACUACGCUCUGCAGCUGCCCGUGAGAUCUCCAUCUCAUUCAUAAUCAGCUCCAGGUCUUCUUUUUUGAUAGUGACUUUGGCCAAUUCCUUCUCCCUCUCCUGCUUUGCUUUCUGCUCGCGGGACCGCCGGUCUCCAAUCACCGACAUGGCCGUCUCCAAGUUGGAGCUCUGGAUCUCCUUCUCCUCCGCGUAGUCCGUCACCCUUUCCAGGUCCGCCGCUCCGCUGUCGUGUUUCCGCGGCUUCUCGGCCGCCCUUCCUCCCGCCCCAUCGCUGCCUCCGCCGGAACCGUUAGGCUCAGUCUCUAACUCCAGCUCCACGUCCCCUUCUGCCGCCAUUAUACC